rnacentral:rRNA from 1 species
GGUUAGUUAACUUGUUUGGUUAUUUUUUAGGGUUAUUUGCCUUUUGCAUCAUGCUUAAUAGAGUUGAAGAUUUAGGUUAAAAACCAAAAAAUUCAGAUUUUAUUUAACAUUGUUAAGAACUAAUAGUGUUCGAGUUGAUUAGUUUAGAUGUUGAGUAGGCAGUGAAACGUUAAUCGUUGAAUUUUAUAUUUGUUUAACUGUUAUAUUAUUUUGAUUGAUAUUUAAAGCGAUAAGGUUUUAGAUAGGUUUAUACUAAGUGUUUUGUGUUGUUAUAAUAAGGUUAAAGGUACCUACUUUUAGGGAGUUUGUUAAAAAUUUUGAUAUGUUUGGAGGGUUAGUUAAAUAUUUUGCAGUUUGUUUAAUAUUUAGAUUUUAAAUAUUAUUAAAUAAGUAAUUAAAUUAUAGUUGUUAUUUCUAGAAUUUUGUCCGUCUGUUUAUUAAAAACAUUUCUAAGUUGUGUUUUACUUAGUAAGACCUGCUCAAUGCGUAUGUUAAUAGCCGCAGUAUUUUGACUGUGCAAAGGUAGCGUAAUUAAUUGUCUCAUAAUUGGGGACUUGUUUGAAUGGUUAGACGUGAUAAUAGUUAAUAUCUAUUAUUUGUUUGAAAUUGGUUUUGUAGUCAAGAAACUACAAGGUUUAGUUAGACGGAAAGACCCCGGGAUCUUUUAGUUUUGCUUGGGGCAGGUUUAUGUAUUUUACUUAUAUUGUGUUCCUGCAGUUGGUUAGAUUAAUGGGUUAAGUUACCCCGGGGAUAACAGUGUAAUAGUUAAUAAAAGAUCGUAUUGAAUUAAUUGAUUGCCACCUCGAUGUUGACUUAGGUUUGAAGUUAUGGGCGUAGUAGUUUAUAGCUUAGGUCUGUUCGACCUUAUAUACCUUCAUGAGUUGAGUUAAGACCGGCGUGAGCCAGGUCGGUUCUUAUCUACUGUGGUGACCUAUUAGUACGAAAGGAUUGUAGGUCUUUUUUUU